GGUCUAAUCGUGCAUGGGGCACACCUGCGGGAUGUUAAAAGUCGAUAAUGGCAUCCACGCUUUGCAGGAGGCGCCCGUUCGACUCGGGCUUGGACCA